rnacentral:rRNA from 1 species
UAAAGCAGCCAUAUCACCCUGUAGCCCAAGACUGGUUGCCCACUGAAGCUAAGCAGGGUUGAGCCUGGUCAGUACCUGGAUGGGAGACCUCCUGGGAAAACUAGGUUGCUGCUGGAA